rnacentral:rRNA from 1 species
AAUGAACGCUGGCGGCAGGCCUAACACAUGCAAGUCGAACGGGUCCUUCGGGACUAGUGGCGGACGGGUGAGUAACGCGUGGAACAUACCCUUUGGUACGGAAUAGCCUCGGGAAACUGGGAGUAAUACCGUAUGUGGUCGAGAGACGAAAGAUUUAUCGCCAAAGGAUUGGCCCGCGUUGGAUUAGGUAGUUGGUGGGGUAAUGGCCUACCAAGCCGACGAUCCAUAGCUGGUUUGAGAGGAUGAUCAGCCACACUGGGACUGAGACACGGCCCAGACUCCUACGGGAGGCAGCAGUGGGGAAUCUUAGACAAUGGGGGAAACCCUGAUCUAGCCAUGCCGCGUGAUCGAUGAAGGCCUUAGGGUUGUAAAGAUCUUUCAGGUGGGAAGAUAAUGACUGUACCACCAGAAGAAGCCCCGGCUAACUCCGUGCCAGCAGCCGCGGUAAU